UCACUGGCUCCACCUGACCACCUUGUUCCUCGCACUCUCAUCAUCCUUCGUAAUACUGCUUCCAGUCUCUGCUCGGCUACCCAGGACGAUAGCAAACACAACUUCUGCCCAUAAAUGAUGGUAAUACUGCUUCCAGUCUCUGCUCGGCUACCCAGGACGAUAGCAAACACAACUUCUGCCCAUAAAUG